GAAACACUAAGCAUUCAGGAGGGUGCGUAACCAUAACACUGAACUAUGUUCCUGUUCGGCUCUUCCAUGAAGAUGUUACAUUUUUAAUUUUCGUUCUUUCUUCUUAGAUUAAGCUUCUGGAUUCAUCGCCGGUGAUACUGACACAUAGCCAGUGCUCCUGUGUGGCAGGCGCUGUUAUGUGCAAUCACACAGUGGCACUGCUCUUCCAAACAGCACACUACUCACAACUCAGAGUGCCCGUUGUCCCCCCUGUGCAUAGCUGCAUGGAAUCUGAACAGCAAUGGCACAAGCCACGGACAGUGGUAAUUUAAAUGAGGUUAAAGUUUUUGAAUUAGUCCAUGUUUACAUAUGAACAGCAACACCAUCCAUAGUAAAUGUGUCUUCUGUUAGGGUGUGAGGCCAGGACCCAUCAACUCCAUGAUCUUCACUAAGCCAGUACCAAAUAGGAUGGCCCAGACUGGAGUACGGAGUGGCUUCUACAGAGGCAUGGUGGGUCCGUUACCAGAUCCCUGCUUGUUCAGAAUAACGGAGGCAUAUGCAAAAUUUAAUAUUGAGGACAGGCCACUUGUGACCACAAUGAACAUGAGACCUGACAAGCCCCUUGUGGAAAGUGCCUUUGGGCUGGUGCAGGAGGGCAGUGUUCUGUCAUAUCAGCAGCCGGUUUUGACAACCCGGUACAUCACACUACACCGCGAUGCACCACCAACACCGCACUUGCCUCUGGAGGGGUAUGACAUCUUGCCAUCAGAUUGUGUGUUUGUGUGCUCAGAAGAAGAGCUUCUGCAUCUGAAAAGCUUGUCUGUAACUCUGGAAAUGGCUCACAAAAUAGAGGAAGCUACACGUGAGCAAAGCUCUUCGUCUGAGUGGCAUCAGCUCCGCAGGCCCAGAGUGACUGCCUCUAGGUUUCGGGAGGUGUGUCAC
ensembl:lncRNA